GUACUCACUUUGAGAGCACAUAUCCUAAAAUUGGAAUGAUACAGAGAGGAUUAGCAUGGCCUUGAGCAAGGAUGAUACCCAAAUCCCAAUUGUAAAAUAACUAUUC
ensembl:snRNA U6 U6 spliceosomal RNA